UCUGUUUAAAUAGCCAGGGAGUCUGGGAUGUCAAGGGGCGGGAGCAGGGGCAGGGAGCCAGUUGGCACCAGUAAGGUAGAGGGACAUGACUGCCUGCUUUCACUCCUCUUGCCUCCUACGGUUCAGGACUACUGCCUCAAGGGACCCCUGCCCUACCCAUGCCUGGCCCUCACCUUCCCUAGAAGCUCACGCUCUCUGGACAUGAAGGAGGAACUAGACUUCACUGAGACAUCCAGCUUUCGCCUGAACACCUCGUCCAUGGGCAUUUCCCACUCAAACCUGGGCAAGAGCACCCCAUACACACCUCCUCUAAAUCAGCAGUAGUGAGCCGAGGGGUCAGACGCUCCAGGCGCAAGUGCAGGCGGCCAGAUGGGACGUCCUCCAGAGUCAGCCACUGUGGGAGCACGUGGGGUAAGACUCAAAUGUCAGGGGAUGGAAGCAAAGAGGAUGAGGUUUGGGUCAAGGUCAGAAGCAACUAUCCAUUCUAAUCUUAUGCUCACCUCAUCCAGGAAGCCACUAUUUAGGACUGUGGUGAGACUCAUUUUACAUCUGUGGAGAAAGAGAAAGACGAGAUAAAUGUUCAAGCUCGAUGAACCCUAGAGGCCCAGCCUGUUUGCUCCUCCAGACCUUACCUGCCCAGAAAGUCAUCCUUGUCCAAGUCCUUGUCAAAGACCUCAGCCUCUAACUCUUGGCCUGGAAUUGAUGUGACGAUCACCUAGCAGGAGAAAACAGUGCAGAUGAAAGAGAAUUUUCUCCUUGUCUUCCCCAAAUAACUGCAUUUUCCACUCCCCUGACCCCCCAGUCACUGAAUCCUGUGGUUUUUGGACCACUCUAGGAGCUUGAAGGAAGAACAGACUGAGUCCUGGCCACUCAGUUCUGACCUCAAAAACCUCAUUCCAGCGAGGGUUGAGAUCUUCCCGAACGACACGGCUUCGGAAGCUUCGUCCUGCCAGCUUUAGUUUGACAUAGGGGUCUGACUUGCCCUUCACCAAUCCCCCCAAGAAACGGUCUUUGGCAAUCAGGUCCUGGGCCUCUAACACAUGAAUCCGAAGCACAUUCUGCAAAAGAAACAGAUGGGGGACCAGAGAGCAGUCAAAGAGACUUCUCAGAAUUAGUUCUGAGCAUGCUGUGCACACUUCAAGUGGGCAAACAGACCUAAAGGUCUUGAGAUAACAACUCACCUCAGUCCCAAAGUGGCUGUCGGGGGUAGUGUGACAGGGCCGAGGCGGAACAUCUACACUGCUGCCUGCUGGGGGGCUUUCACUGUCUAGCUCCCAAGGCCCAGCCGUGCCAGGCAUCAUGGGGAAGCAGAUUUGUGAUGAAUCCAAGUAAAGGAUCUGGGAAAGGUAUGAGAUUGUCCACUCAAGCAGGUGCAUCCAGCAGCCAUGCAUGUAAGGGUUGGUGGGCAGAGCAGGGACUCUGACUGGGACACCAGAUCCCCUGCCUUGGCCAGGUUCAUUCCUAGAUGUUUUUUCCACCCUACCCAACUCCCACACUGUCCCUCCUCCUAGCCAGAUCAAUGAACACUUCCAUGUAUCUGCUGGGUGCUCUUAUCUAAUUCUCUGAUGCCGAGGAAUCCACAGGCCUUCCCCACCUGGUGCCUCCUCACUUCCAUACCCGCAUGACCAGUUUCAUGUAGAGCCUGGAGUUUGGGCCAGAGUUGCUGAGCUGGAACCACUGAUCCAGGGUGAGUUCUGAGGCAGUGAGCAGGCGGGCGAGAGGCAGAGUCAGCGCCCCUAAUGUCAAGGCUCUGGAGUCGUCCUUCACCUACAGACAGCAGUGGAGGCAAUGUGGGAAGGGUCAGGGAAAGGAGUGCUCGGAAAUGGCAACAUGGCGCCUGUUUCACAUCUCUCCCUGCUGUCACAAACCUUUUCUUCUACUCAGUAUCUCUACCCAGGCCUCUCCUCACUCUGGGACCCUUCUGCCUUUGGUCAUUCUCUUCCUGCUGCUCAGGAAGUUCUCAUGCUCCUUCCCUCUGCCUGUUUAAGUAGAUAGAGCUUCAAGCCUUAAUAAAAAUCCUACUUCCUUUACAAAAUCUCUCAUGACUUCAGCCUCAGUGCCUUUCUGUGACCAUCCUUGUCAUACCAUGAAUAUCUUGCUCCUGCUAGUUAAUAUUUCAUGUUCUAGGAUAGUUUGAUAUGUGUGUAGCUCAUCUAUCAAACUGGCCAGUAAGCACUGUGAAGGCAGACACUGUGCCAUGCUUUUCUAUGACUUUUAAAACAUGGAGUGUUAAUCUUACUGGGGCAUCUAGGUGAGGUGGCGCACAUAUGUAAUCACAGCAUUCAGGAGGCUGAGGCAAGAGGAUCACUGUGAGCUGGAAGCCAGCCUGGGGAGCAUAGUGAGUUCAUUGCCAGCCUGAACAAUAUAGCAAGACCAUGUCUCAAAACAAAAAACAGAAAACAAACAAAACCUGCCCCUCCCAUUUUUUUUUAAUUAAAAAAAAUUUUUUUUGGUCUUUUUGAGACAGGGUGUCACCUUGCAGUUCAGGCUGGCCUUGAACUCACUGCUGGUUAGUGGUGGUAUGUGCCUAUAAUCCCAGAAUUUGGAAGGCUGAGGCAAGAGGAUCUCUGUGAGUUUGAGGUCACUGUAAGUCUGGACUAUAUAGUGAGACCCUGUUUCAAAAACAAGCAAACAAGCUGGGCAUAGUAGCACCCGCCUGUAGUCCCAGCACUUGGGAGGCUAAGGCAGUAGGAAUGCCAUGAGUUUGAGGCCAACCUGAACUAUACGGUAAGACCCUCCCUCAAAAAAACAAAAAACAAAUGAACAAAAAUAUGUAUAAUAAAAAUAAGUAUGCAACAGCAAAUAUAAAAACUGAUUCUAGGAGUGCAAUCCUAGACCCAACUCCCAGUAACAUUAAAAACAAAUCAUGCCUGGCAAGUGUGAGGUGGUGAAUUGAUGCCUAGAGGGACUGGGGAUUUAGCUUAGCAGCAUAAGCGCCUGCCUUGCAAGCAGGCAGUCUUGAGUUUGAUCCCCAGUACUGAUAAAAAUGAAAAAAGACCAAAAAAAAAAAAAAAAAAGAGAUUGAUGCCUAGUAUCAAAAAACCCAAACUUGAUUCUAGACAGAUAGGUAGGGCACAGGGGAAGACCAGGGUGGGUUGGGAGGAGAAGUCUAGUAGAUGGAUUAGAGAUAGAUAGAGGUCAUGAGGGAUGAGGGUAUGGCUGAAUGGUAGGACACUUACUUAGCAUAUGCAAGACCUGGGUUCUAUUCUCAGCACCACAAAAAAGAAAAAAGACUAUAGGAUUCAGCCAGCAUGGUGACACAAAGCUGUAGUCCCAGCUACAUGGGAGGCUGAGGUAGGAGGAUCACAAGUUUGAUGCCAGCUUGAACAUCUUAGUAUGACAGCAUCUCAGCAAGGGUUGAGGGUAUAGCUUGAUGGUAGAGAGCUUCUGGGUUCAGUCCUCAGUAAGACACACACACACACACACACACACACACACGCACGCACACACACACGCGCGUGCGCGCACAAUAACACAGAUCUGGGAAGAAAGAAUAAGGCAAAUAAGUGAUUAUCUCACCUGAACAUCAAGCUCCUGGCUGCGAGGAUCCUGCAGAAAGAAGCGGAAAGCUUCUUCCCACACUGGGCUGUUGGUGUUGUAGACAGCCUGGAGAUGGGGAGGACAGGCAAUGUGUGGAGACCACAGCACCAUUCUUGUUUCUCUAGCCAAUCUUUGCACUGGAAACACUGUAAAGGGGAGACUUUGCCCCCAAAAAUCUUCCUCCUACUCCAUGAUGCCCCCCACAAUGCAUCCUCACCUUGCUCUCCUGGGUCACAUCUUGAACUGACAGCUGUACCAUGGGGUUGGGCUCCUUGUUCCCCUUCUUCAGCUGUGGGAGCAGAAUUCAGAUGUUACAAUCUUAGGAAGGAAAGCAGCAUCACAGCAGAGUCUCCUCCCUGAGGUGGAUCGGAUCCCUUCUUUGGAAUCCUUGCAUUAUGUUUCUACUUCUGGAGAAAGCCAGGCAGGGACAGCUGCAUCCUCAGCAAGUAAAGAUGUGACAUUGCUGCACCCUGGGCUCCCUGCCCCCAUCAAGCCAAACUCACAGGAAGAUCCUGGGCUCGAUCCAGGUAGACAACUAGGAUGGCAGCUGAAGGAGGCUCUGGUUUAGAGGAGACUCCCCGAUUCCACUGUAGAACCUGGCAGGAGGCAGAGAGGUCAAGCCUUGGUCCUCCCAAUCCCUGUUCUUGCUUCUACCCAUGUGACUUACCUGCUCCAGUUUCUCUGCAUCUGGCAAAAGUGACAGCCAUUCUAACCUUAAGUGAACUUGGCCUUGGCCGCUUUGUAGAGGGUACCACUGAAGGGAGAAGUAGAAGAGAGGUCCAGUAGUGAUCAGAUAUCCACCCAUCCAUUUCCCCACCAACACAGAGGCUACUGUCUGCCCAAAGCAGGAGGUCAAUCCCACUGUUGUCCAUUUCUCCCAACUUACGUCAUCCAGUACUCCAGCUUGUAACACCUUCCCUACAUCCAGCUUCAUUCUGGGGUCAAGGAGAGGAGGUAGCAGUGAGAGGAGAAAAGGAUGCAAUGUCAUUGGUGCAUGGCAGUGGUCCUCUACUCAACCACCCAGAAGCACCUACAGAGCUCAGACUCCCUUCUCCUUAGACUUAGGAGAUACUUGCACGUGCAUGUGUGUGUGUGUGUGUGUGUGUGUGUGUGUGUGUGUGUGUGUGCAAAGUUAUUUAGGAUGGGGAAGAAAAAUAAUAGAAGAGUUCCAGAUCCAGAAAACAACUACAGUUACCUCUGGGACCUUAGGAGCACUGAAGCUUCAAAUCAUAACACAGACUGAGACUCACCUGCCCAGAAAAUCAUCCUUAUCUGGAUCCUUGUCAAACACCUCCACUUCAAUCUCCUGUCCCGGGACCUCGUGUACUAUCACCUGCAGCACACAGAGGGCUAAGGUCUCAUGGGCUGCAGCUGGAAGGCUCCUCAGCAUCUUUCCCACAGCUUCAAGAAGCCCUCUUCAUUUCCUCCAGCUCCAUUCUUCCUCUGCUUAAUACCUCGUAAGUCUCUCCCCACUGAGGGUUGAGCUCCUCAUUGAUGACACGACUGCAGAAUGUCUGGGUUCCCACACGCACAAGUGCAUAGGGGUCUGACUUGCCCUCAAUCAGGCCUUUCACAUAUUUGUCCUUGGAACUCAGCCCUCGAGCAGCCAGCAGGUGAAUCCGAAUAAUGCCCUGAAGUUAGGAAUUGAUGGGUCAGAAACAAAGGAGCCACCAUGGCAUUCUGAAGAGAAAGAGCUAGUUAAUCAGGGAGGGGCAUACCCUGGGCAGAGGAGAGCGCAACUGGGCUACAUCAUGAAGGUCAGGCACGAGAGGCACCAACAGUCGGUUGGGCAACACAAGGAAGGCAGCGAUGGAAUCCAUGAUCAUAGUGUCAGACAGAGAGCUGCAUGGGGGGUGGGUAGAAAAGGAACAUUGACCCCAACUUUCAGUUCUCCAUACCCAACUGCUUCCCAUUGCAAGACAGACCGAUAGCUUAUAAGGAAGUCUUUCUUGAAAAUCCUUUUGGUCACUCUUCUAUCCCAACUCCCCACCUACUUCACUGCCACCCCUGGCUGCUCUUCCUGCUCUUCUUUCUCCUGUUUGAGCAGUGUUCAGUCCUCUUUAUUCCCUACUAACAUGCAUGCUCCUGCAGAGAAAUCACAGUAGGAAACCCCUUGUCUACAGUGGAGGUCUCAGAGGGCACAGGCCGCAUCUUUUACUGCUUUGGAACACCAUACCCUCAAGCUAGGCCUGGAAUACUUAGCAAAUACUCAAUGAGUCCUUGAUACCUAAGUCCUGGGAUAUCCAGCAGGUUGGUCAUCCCUGUCCAGUUGAUGUCUAGAGUCUAGAAGGAAAGCGGGAGGGGUCAGGACAGAUCCUAUGGGACAUAGUCACACCCAUCCCAUGGUUGUCAAACUCACUGGCCUUUUGUCAAUUCUUAUUCUCCAUAGCUACCUACUGUCACCAUCCCAAUUCUGUUUCCUCUGCUUCCCCAUCCCUCUUAAUGAUUUUCCUUACCGGGCGUCGGAUAAAGAACAUUGACACAGCCCCCACAAUAGGAAGGUCUCCCAUGAGUGGCUCGAGAAUCACCCGCAAGAUGCCAUGUAGCUAGGGCAAGAAGAAAACACUGAAGUAUUUCCCCACCCUUGACUUUAACAACCUCCUGCUUUCCCAUAUCCCAUGAAACUUAGGGCGAAAAUUCCCUAUUAUGGGAGGCUCUGGCAUCUGUCCCACCUGCAUGCCCUUGACUCCUGCUUUGCAGAAAUACUUCUUUAUUUCCACAUCAAUCUGCACAUCACCUACAUAGCUGGGGGUUGGUGAGGAAGAGAGUAAUGGUUAGUAUUAGGCCAGUGCAGGGGUUAGGGCAGUGAAGUAGCCAGGAGUGAUCAGGACCCCCAAAAGGGAAGCAGGCAGUGGUGCUACCUGAUGUUCAAAUCCAGCAGGAUCUGAUCUUUUCUUUGGUUAGGGUGGACCUUUACUCCUAUGAUGCGCAAUGGCUAGAGAGAGAGCAGACCUUGAGAUAGCCAGGAGGGAAGGGAGGCAUACCUCAGUGUCUUCUGAGCUGCACCCCCUCCCGGUCUCAGUUCUUCCAACAAUACCUUUUCUCCCAGUUCCACUCGUGUGAAUGUAAAUGUUUGCAGAUGGGGAUUAGAUCCCCGAACAGCUGGUGCCACAGUUUCAGCCAGAAGCUUUUCCAUGUACUGUCCCAGGAAGGGCCAGACCUGGGCUACAAUCUGGAAGUGAGGACACAUGGUUAGAGAAGAUCCCCAUCUCUCCUCUGAAAGGAAAUUCUGUCAGAAUACUCUCUAUGGGCAGCACUGGGGACCAGGCUCAGCCUGGAAUUGAAGUGUGACAGGACCUGGCAAGAAGAAUGAAUUCUCAUUUUCCUCCCAUGAAAAAUAAAAACCUGAUCAGUUCUCA